ACGCACGCUGGCGGCGUGCUUAACACAUGCCAGUCGCACGGAAAGGCCCUGCUUUUGUGGGGUGCUCGAGUGGCGAACGGGUGAGUAACACGUGAGUAACCUGCCCUUGACUUUGGGAUAACCUCAGGAAACUGGGGCUAAUACCGGAUAGGAGCUCCUGCUGCAUGGUGGGGGUUGGAAAGUUUCGGCGGUUGGGGAUGGACUCGCGGCUUAUCAGCUUGUUGGUGGGGUAGUGGCUUACCAAGGCUUUGACGGGUAGCCGGCCUGAGAGGGUGACCGGCCACAUUGGGACUGAGAUACGGCCCAGACUCCUACGGGAGGCAGCAGUGGGGAAUAUUGCACAAUGGGCGGAAGCCUGAUGCAGCAACGCCGCGUGCGGGAUGACGGCCUUCGGGUUGUAAACCGCUUUCGCCUGUGACGAAGCGUGAGUGACGGUAAUGGGUAAAGAAGCACCGGCUAACUACGUG
rnacentral:rRNA from 1 species